AAAAAUUCGAUCUCAUUCACCUCAAAUCCGCUCCAAAUGCUAUUAAAAUUCAGUAUGAACUUCUAGAAGGUACUAUGAACAAUAUUUAACAAUACUCACUUUUAAUCAAUAAGAAAUCUUUAAAAUAAAAAAUUUAAAUUCAAGGGCCAAGGCAAGAGCAAGAACUAGGAAAACAACAAUCAAGAAAAAGUGGAGCAUAAUUGAAAC
rnacentral:lncRNA from 1 species